CCUACGGGUGGCAGCAGUGAGGAAUAUUGGUCAAUGGGCGGAAGCCUGAACCAGCCAAGUAGCGUGCAGGAUGACGGCCCUACGGGUUGUAAACUGCUUUUAUACGGGAAUAACGCGCCUUACGUGUAGGGCUUUGCAUGUACCGUAUGAAUAAGGACCGGCUAAUUCCCUGCCAGCAGGCGCGGUAAUACGGAAGGUCCGGGCGGUAUCCGGAUUUAUUGGGUUUAAAGGGAGCGUAGGCCGCAGUGCAAGCGUGCUGUUAAAUGUCCGGGCCCAACCCGGGCCGUGCAGCGCGAACUGGCGUGCUUGAGUCCGCGGAAAGCAGGCGGAAUUCGUCGUGUAGCGGUGAAAUGCUUAGAUAUGACGAAGAACCCCGAUUGCGAAGGCAGCUUGCUGCAGCGGAACUGACGCUGAUGCUCGAAAGCGCGGGUAUCGAACAGGAUUAGAUACCCCAGUAGUC
rnacentral:rRNA from 1 species